rnacentral:hammerhead_ribozyme from 1 species
AUCCAGUUGACGCGUCCCAAAUAGGACGAAAUGCUCUUCAUCCUGGAU